AGAGUUUGAUCCUGGCUCAGGAUGAACGCUAGCGGCAGGCUUAACACAUGCAAGUCGAGGGGCAGCGGGGAGGAAGCUUGCUUUCUCCGCCGGCGACCGGCGCACGGGUGAGUAACACGUAUGCAACCUGCCCCUGUCAGGGGGACAACCCGCCGAAAGGCGGGCUAAACCUGCGUACAUGCCACCGGGGCAUCCCGGAGGCAGGAAAGGCUUCGGCCGGACAGGGAUGGGCAUGCGGCGCAUUAGGCAGUAGGCGGGGUAACGGCCCACCUAACCGACGAUGCGUAGGGGUUCUGAGAGGAAGGUCCCCCACACUGGUACUGAGACACGGACCAGACUCCUACGGGAGGCAGCAGUGAGGAAUAUUGGUCAAUGGUCGGGAGACUGAACCAGCCAAGCCGCGUGAGGGAGGAAGGUACAGAGUAUCGUAAACCUCUUUUGUCAGGGAACAAAGACUGGGACGCGUCCCCGGAUGAGUGUACCCGAAGAAAAAGCAUCGGCUAACUCCGUGCCAGCAGCCGCGGUAAUACGGAGGAUGCGAGCGUUAUCCGGAUUUAUUGGGUUUAAAGGGUGCGCAGGCGGUCUGUUAAGUCAGCGGUCAAAGCCCGGGGCUCAACCCCGGCCCGCCGUUGAAACUGGCAGUCUCGAGUUGGAGAGAAGUAUGCGGAAUGCGCGGUGUAGCGGUGAAAUGCAUAGAUAUCGCGCAGAACUCCGAUUGCGAAGGCAGCAUGCCGGCUCCACACUGACGCUGAGGCACGAAAGCGUGGGUAUCGAACAGGAUUAGAUACCCUGGUAGUCCACGCAGUAAACGAUGAAUGCUGGCUGUCCGGGGGGACUGACCCCUGGGUGGCGAAGCGAAAGCGAUAAGCAUUCCACCUGGGGAGUACGCCGGCAACGGUGAAACUCAAAGGAAUUGACGGGGGCCCGCACAAGCGGAGGAACAUGUGGUUUAAUUCGAUGAUACGCGAGGAACCUUACCCGGGCUCAAACGGGGAGUGCCGCAGGCAGAGACGCCUGUUUCCCACGGGACACUCCCCGAGGUGCUGCAUGGUUGUCGUCAGCUCGUGCCGUGAGGUGUCGGCUUAAGUGCCAUAACGAGCGCAACCCCCGCGUGCAGUUGCUAACAGAUAACGCUGAGGACUCUGCACGGACUGCCGGCGCAAGCCGCGAGGAAGGCGGGGAUGACGUCAAAUCAGCACGGCCCUUACGUCCGGGGCGACACACGUGUUACAAUGGGUGGUACAGCGGGAAGCCAGGCGGCGACGCCGAGCGGAACCCGAAAUCCACUCUCAGUUCGGAUCGGAGUCUGCAACCCGACUCCGUGAAGCUGGAUUCGCUAGUAAUCGCGCAUCAGCCAUGGCGCGGUGAAUCCGUUAGGCGGGCCUUGCACACACCGCCCGUCA
rnacentral:rRNA from 1 species